AACAGCGCAAGUUGGCACGGCGCCUGCUUGGGUUCUCCCGACAAUCGACAACAAAGCGCCUGCCUCAACGACGAGGCGGCGUUUCCCGACCGAACGGGACCUGGACAAAGGCGUCCUGCUGGCAACAGCGGGACGCC
rfam:Pseudomonas aeruginosa PAO1, complete genome.